GAUGAACGCUGGCGGCGUGCCUAAUACAUGCAAGUCGAGCGAACAGACGAGGAGCUUGCUCCUCUGACGUUAGCGGCGGACGGGUGAGUAACACGUGGAUAACCUACCUAUAAGACUGGGAUAACUUCGGGAAACCGGAGCUAAUACCGGAUAAUAUAUUGAACCGCAUGGUUCAAUAGUGAAAGACGGUUUUGCUGUCACUUAUAGAUGGAUCCGCGCCGCAUUAGCUAGUUGGUAAGGUAACGGCUUACCAAGGCGACGAUGCGUAGCCGACCUGAGAGGGUGAUCGGCCACAAUGGAACUGAGACACGGUCCAGACUCCUACGGGAGGCAGCAGUAGGGAAUCUUCCGCAAUGGGCGAAAGCAUGACGGAGCAACGCCGCGUGAGUGAUGAAGGUCUUCGGAUCGUAAAACUCUGUUAUUAGGGAAGAACAAAUGUGUAAGUAACUAUGCACGUCUUGACGGUACCUAAUCAGAAAGCCACGGCUAACUACGUG
rnacentral:rRNA from 1 species